ACGGGGUAGGAAUACGUAGGUAACGUACCCUCGGGGCGAGGACAGCCACGGGAAACUGUGGGUAAUACUCGAUAAACUUCCCAAUCAUUAUCGGAGGGGAAGCAAUGGGUGUGAUUCCACCUGAGGAGCGGCUUACGCAGUAUCAGCUAGUUGGUGAGGUAACGGCUCACCAAGGCUACGACGCUAGGGGGUGUGAGAGCAUGGCCCCCACCACUGGCACUGAGACACUGGCCAGACACCUACGGGUGGCUGCAGUCGAGAAUCUUCGGCAAUGGACGCAAGUCUGACCGAGCGACGCCGCGUGUGGGAUGAAGGCCUUCGGGUUGUAAACCACUGUCAGAGGGGAUGAAGUGUACGAGAGUUAUCUCUUGUAUUUGACAGAGCCUCAGAGGAAGCACGGGCUAAGUUCGUGCCAGCAGCCGCGGUAAUACGAACUGUGCGAACGUUAUUCGGAAUCACUGGGCUUAAAGGGUGCGUAGGCGGUUAUCUAAGUCAGGUGUGAAAUCUCUCGGCUCAACCGGGAAACUGCGCUCGAAACUGGAUGACUGGAGUGAUGCAGGGGUGUGUGGAACUUCCGGUGGAGCGGU
rnacentral:rRNA from 1 species